rnacentral:rRNA from 1 species
GUUUUCAGCCAUACCACCCUGAACGCUUCCGAUCUUGUCUGAUCUCGAAAGCUAAGCGGGGUCGGGCCUGGCUAGUACUUGGAUGGGAGACUGCCUGGGAAUACUGGGUGCUGUAGACU